AACGAACGCUGGCGGCGUGCCUAACACAUGCAAGUCGAACGAGAAAGGGGCUUCGGCUCCGAGUAAAGUGGCGCACGGGUGAGUAACACGUGGGUAACCUGCCUCUAAGAUUGGGAUAACUCGUCGAAAGAUGAGCUAAUACCGAAUAAGACCACAGUUCCCGCGGGAACAGGGGUCAAAGGUAGCCUCUGCUUGCAAGCUAUCACUUAGAGAUGGGCCUGCGCACCAUUAGCUAGUUGGUAGGGUAACGGCCUACCAAGGCAAAGAUGGUUAGCUGGUCUGAGAGGAUGAUCAGCCACACUGGAACGGAGACACGGUCCAGACUCCUACGGGAGGCAGCAGUGGGGAAUAUUGCGCAAUGGGCGAAAGCUUGACGCAGCAACGCCGCGGGAGUGAUGAAGGCCUUCGGGUCGUAAAGCUCUGUCGGGAGGAACGAAUGCUCCUGAGGUUAACAGCCUCGGGAGGUGACGGUACCUUCAAAGGAAGCACCGGCUAACUCUGUG
rnacentral:rRNA from 1 species